CCCAGACUCCUACGGGAGGCAGCAGUGGGGGAUAUUGCACAAUGGGGGAACCCUGAUGCAGCGACGCCGCGUGGGUGAAGAAGCGCCUCGGCGCGUAAAGCCCUGUCAGCAGGGAAAAAAAUGACGGUACCCGAAGAAAAAGCAUCGGCUAACUCCGUGCCAGCAGCCGCGGUAAUACGGAGGAUGCGAGCGUUAUCCGGAUUUAUUGGGUUUAAAGGGUGCGUAGGCGGACAGUCAAGUCAGCGGUAAAAAUGCGGUGCUCAACGCCGUACAGCCGUUGAAACUGGCAGUCUUGAGUGGGCGAGAAGUAUGCGGAAUGCGUGGUGUAGCGGUGAAAUGCAUAGAUAUCACGCAGAACUCCGAUUGCGAAGGCAGCAUACCGGCGCCCUACUGACGCUGAGGCACGAAAGCGUGGGUAUCGAACAGGAUUAGAUACCCUGGUAUAC
rnacentral:rRNA from 1 species